GAUGAACGCUGGCGGCGUGCCUAAUACAUGCCAGUCGAGCGAACAGAUGAGGAGCUUGCUCCUCUGACGUUAGCGGCGGACGGGUGAGUAACACGUGGAUAACCUACCUAUAAGACUGGGAUAACUUCGGGAAACCGGAGCUAAUACCGGAUAAUAUAUUGAACCGCAUGGUUCAAUAAUGAAAGACGGUUUUGCUGUCACUUAUAGAUGGAUCCGCGCCGCAUUAGCUAGUUGGUAAGGUAACGGCUUACCAAGGCAACGAUGCGUAGCCGACCUGAGAGGGUGAUCGGCCACACUGGACCUGAGACACGGUCCAGACUCCUACGGGAGGCAGCAGUAGGGAAUCUUCCGCAAUGGGCGAAAGCCUGACGGAGCAACGCCGCGUGAGUGAUGAAAGUCUUCGGAUCGUAAAACUCUGUUAUUAGGGAAGAACAAAUGUGUAAGUAACUAUGCACGUCUUGACGGUACCUAAUCAGAAAGCCACGGCUAACUACGUG
rnacentral:rRNA from 1 species